rnacentral:rRNA from 1 species
GUGGGGAAUUUUCCGCAAUGGGCGAAAGCCUGACGGAGCGACGCUGCGUGAAGGAUGACGGCCUGCGGGUUGUAAACUUCUUUUCUCGAAGAAGAAUAAAUGACGGUAUUCGAGGAAUAAGCAUCGGCUAACUCUGUGCCAGCAGCCGCGGUAAGACAGAGGAUGCAAGUGUUAUUCGGAUUGAUUGGGCGUAAAGCGUCUGUAGGCGGUUUGGAAAGUCUUUUGUGAAAUUCUUCAGCUCAACUGGGGGUCCGCAAAAGAAACUUCUAGGCUUGAGGGAAGUAGAGGUACAGGGAAUUUCCGGUGGAGCGGUGAAAUGCGUAGAUAUCGGAAGGAACACCAAUAUGGCGAAGGCACUGUACUGGGCUUUACCUGACGCUAAGAGACGAAAGCUAAAGGAGUGAUUAGGAUUAGAUACCCUAGUAAUUUUAGCCGUAAACGAUGGAAACUCACUGCCGAGCCGGUAUUCGGAGCGGUGGUCAAGCUAACGCGUGAAGUUUCCCGCCUGGGGACUACGCAUGCAAAUGUGAA